rnacentral:rRNA from 1 species
GCCAGCAGCCGCGGUAAUACGUAGGUUCCAAGCGUUAUCCGGAAUUACUGGGCGUAAAGGGUGUGUAGGCGGAUUUUUAAGUUAGAUACGAAAACUAGUGGCUUAACCACGAGAAGGUAUUUAAUACUGGAAGUCUUAGAGCGCAUUAAGAGGUUAGUGGAAUUAGUAGUGGAGCGGUAAAAUGCAUUGAUAUUACUAGGAACGCCAAUGGUGAAGACAACUAACUGGGAUGCAGCUGACGCUGAAACACGAAAGCGUGGGGAGCAAUCGGGAUUAGAUACCCCGGUAGUCCACGCCGUAAACGAUGUUCACUAUCUGUCGGGGGUUUCGACCCCUUCGGUAGAACAGCUAACGCGUUAAGUGAACCGCCUGGGGACUACGAACGCAAGUUUAAAACUCAAAGAAAUUGACGGGGACCCGCACAAGCAGUGGAGCAUCUGGUUUAAUACGAUGCUAAGCGUAAAACCUUACCAGGGUUUGACAUCCUAGGAAGGCCGAGGAAACUUGGCUGUGCCUGUUUACAGGAAUCUAGUGACAGAUGUUGCAUGGCCGUCGUCAG